rnacentral:lncRNA from 1 species
GUUCGUGUUUGGAUUAUAUAUUAUCUUUUACGUCAUAUAUCACUAUUCAAUCAUGUUACAUUUGAAAAAAUUGUGUUUUAUUAAAACACUACAAUCAUUCUAUUUUAUAAUUUUAAAAAAAAGUCUGGUUUCCAUAGUUCUCGAGAUAAUUGUGUCCUAACUUACUGAGCUUCAAUUCUUCUCGAUGAAUUUGAAUAGCCA